UACAGAGGUCUCGAGCGUUGUUCGGAUUCAUUGGGCGUAAAGGGUGCGUAGGUGGCACUGUAAGUCGGGUGUGAAAUCCUGAGGCUUAACCUCGGAACUGCAUUCGAUACUGCGGUGCUUGAGGACUGGAGAGGAGACUGGAAUUCAUGGUGUAGCAGUGAAAUGCGUAGAGAUCAUGAGGAAGACCAGUGGCGAAGGCGGGUCUCUGGACAGUUCCUGACACUGAGACACGAAGGCCAGGGGAGCAAACGGG
rnacentral:rRNA from 1 species